rnacentral:lncRNA from 1 species
GAACGGGGUAUGGUAGUAGGUAGCAGGCUGCCCGGUUUGUGCCAAGAACUGCAACGAUGCUGGGUUUUUCACAAUCAACAGUUUCCCGCGUGUAUUAACAAUGGCGUAUUAACGUCCAGUCAACUUGACACAACUGUUGGAAGCAUUGGAGACAACAUGGGCCAGCAUCCCUGUGGAACGCUUUCGACACCUUGUAGAGUCCAUGUCCCGACGAGGCUGUUCUGAGGGCAAAAAGGGGGGUGCAACUCAUUAUUAGGAAGGUGUUCCUAAUGAUUUGUAGCCGCGGGCGUGGUUAUUAUCACCGUGAAAGAACGCGCGGACAGGACCAACCUCUAAUGACAUCACUCACUUCUCUCCUCCCGCUGAUCGACUUGUAGUUUCAGCAGGUUUCUGGUUACCGGCUGCGGACAGGCAAUAUCUCACACCAUUCAUUCUCAGGCACCGACACACCAGAGAGACGUUACCCGGGCAGAGUGAGCCUUUAGCGACAUGAUGGCAGAGGAGAGCCGGGGGAAACGACGGAAACAAGCGAACCCGAGAAGGAAUCAAGUGGACAUCGAAUGGGUCAGUUCUCUGGGCUCGGAGGGGGAGGAUGGUGAUGAGGUGGGUCUGUGGAGCCCGGAACCCCAGGACUACCAGGGCAGCCUGGACAAGACCAGUCUGACCCCCAGCGAGGGUGAGGGAGACGGGGAAGGGACCGAGCCAGGAGGUACCCCCAGCCCCAGGGGCCAGUCAACCCAGCCCCAAAGCCCCAUCCCCAGGGAGGGCCACUGGACAGAGAGGGAAGAGGAGGUACCUGAGAUAACUAUGGACAGGAAGCAGAAAUCUCUCAUGACCUACACAGGUCAGAGGUCAGACAGCAGGGCCUUGGAGGACUUGGCCCACUAUGACUUCCUGGUUCAGUUGAGAAAGGCAUCCUCCCACCAACCUGCCUCACACCACUACCAGCACCACAACCACCUGCCCCCCAACGGCAGAAGCCCUGCCCCAGCCAUGUACCACACUGGCAGUCUGCGCCUCCAUGAUGACCUCCCUCCCGUCUGGUCUGUUGGGGCUCGGCGCUCAUCUGAGAGACCAGGUAGGUUAUGGAUAUUGCAUCCUUAUAAACACACAAAUCUCUGUUGAUAUAGCCCACAAGGCUAAUUUGAGUAGAAUAUUUGUAGUUACAUGUACAACAUCCGUG